GUCAGAAUGGCCGAGCGGUCUAAGGCGCUGUGUUCAGGUCGCAGUCUCCAUUGGAGGCGUGGGUUCAAAUCCCACUUCUGACA
rnacentral:tRNA from 1 species